ensembl:lncRNA novel transcript
UUGUUACAAAGUUCAGCUGGAGACUUCCUUCUCCCUGUGACAUUUUCCCUGCACCUCUGGCUGCCCUCCGGAAGGAUCCCUGUGGUGCUAUGCAGGAAUGGCCUACUCAGAGAUCCAGGAAACUCCCAGGGCCUUUCCCGCUGCUUCCUCUACCCCUUUAUUUCACUCAGCUCUCUAACUUGACUCAGCAUCAGAGACAUCACCCAGGCUGGAGUGCAGUGGUGCAAUCAUAGCUUCCUGUAACCUCAAACUCCUGGGCUCAAGUGAGCUUCCACCUCAGCCUCCUGAGUAGCUGAAAUUACAGGCCUGAGCCAGCAUGUCUGGGUAAAAAUUAUAAUGUCUGUCUCUCUGUCUAGCUAUACAUUCAUACAGCUUCCCAGUAUUCUAUUGUAUGGAAAUACAGUACCUUAAUUUCUUUAUUUAACAUUUGCAUUGCUUCUAACUUUUGUGUUACAAAUAAUAGUGAAUAAAUAAUCUUGUACAUCUAUCAUUUUGAAGGUGUACAAAUACAUCUGUAGGAUAAAUUCCAAAAGUGAAGUUGCUGGAUCAAACACAUAUGCAUUUUAAGUUUUGACAAAUACUGCCAAAUUGAUACUGUAUGAGACCAAAAAUAACUUUUUUUCUGUUUUUUUUUUCCUACCCAUUUUAUGUUCAUGGCUGAGGUCCCUAUUACAAAAGACAGAUUAACAAGAGAAAAGCAUACAAGUUCAUUUAAUUUAAGUUUUAGGAGACACUAGAGCUUUCAUAAAGAUAUGAAGACCCAAAGAAGGUAAACCUGAGUAUCUUUAUGCUAGGCUUGAUGAAGAAUGGACAGUUGUGGAGAAAUAUGAUAAGGUAAAAAAUAAUAUGAUCUAUUGAUAAUAAAGUGGGGAAAUGUAGAAAGGCCUUUCUGUUCCUUUGUCUUUGGAGAAAGGGAUGUUUCUUUCCUUUGGGUAGAGGGAUGGCACCUCUCACAUGAGAAUCUUAUGACCUGCUUUAGGGGAGAGGGGUAGGGGGAAGGUCAGAGUGACCUCCCUGCAUCUGCUGUUUUAUCAAAUUCAUUCAGCUUAAAAUAUUCAACACCAAGAUGCCAUAUUUUGGGAUGGCAUGUCCAGAAAAUUAUUACUCUUCAUGGGGACUGCACAAAUUUGCAUGUCCGUCUACCUCUGAUGGAUGAGUGACUGUUUCCCCACCUCUCACCAUGCAGGGUAUAUUACUAAACAUUUAUAUUUUUGCCAAUAUCUUAAAUAAAAAUUGAUGUAUCAAUUUAGGUUGCUCAUCUUUUCAUGUUAACGGCUAUUUGCAUUUCCUUUUUUGUGAACAAUCUGUUCAGAUUUGUUGCCUAUUUUUCCAUUAGAUUGAUUUUUUUUCCCUUCUCAGUUUGUGGGAACUCUUUGUAUGUUAGCAAGAUUAGCUUUGUAUGUUACAUAAGUGGCAGAUACUUUUCUCAAUUUAUUUGUCUUUUGACUUUGCUUAUUAUUAUUUUGCUACAUAAUAUGGAUAUAUUAUUUCUGUAUGUGUAAAAUUUAUCAAUGUUUUAUUUCAUGGCACUAUGGACUUAUUUUAAUGUAAAGCUUAAAAAUGUGAA